rnacentral:rRNA from 1 species
UGCAAGUCGAGCGGUAGAGAGAAGCUUGCUUCUCUUGAGAGCGGCGGACGGGUGAGUAAUGCCUAGGAAUCUGCCUGGUAGUGGGGGAUAACGUUCGGAAACGGACGCUAAUACCGCAUACGUCCUACGGGAGAAAGCAGGGGACCUUCGGGCCUUGCGCUAUCAGAUGAGCCUAGGUCGGAUUAGCUAGUUGGUGAGGUAAUGGCUCACCAAGGCGACGAUCCGUAACUGGUCUGAGAGGAUGAUCAGUCACACUGGAACUGAGACACGGUCCAGACUCCUACGGGAGGCAGCAGUGGGGAAUAUUGGACAAUGGGCGAAAGCCUGAUCCAGCCAUGCCGCGUGUGUGAAGAAGGUCUUCGGAUUGUAAAGCACUUUAAGUUGGGAGGAAGGGCAGUUGCCUAAUACGUAACUGUUUUGACGUUACCGACAGAAUAAGCACCGGCUAACUCUGUGCCAGCAGCCGCGGUAAUACAGAGGGUGCAAGCGUUAAUCGGAAUUACUGGGCGUAAAGCGCGCGUAGGUGGUUUGUUAAGUUGGAUGUGAAAUCCCCGGGCUCAACCUGGGAACUGCAUUCAAAACUGACUGACUAGAGUAUGGUAGAGGGUGGUGGAAUUUCCUGUGUAGCGGUGAAAUGCGUAGAUAUAGGAAGGAACACCAGUGGCGAAGGCGACCACCUGGACU